ensembl:lncRNA trichohyalin-like
ACGCGCUGGUGACGUUCCCGUACUUCCUGGUUGUUUCAAAGCCCCAUGUUUAAAACACAUGUGCUUGGUCCACUGUUUUGAUGCUGCUGCGCGUUGUUUUAGAACUUCAGCUAAAUGAAGCUAUGAUACAGCAUUAUUGUGAGUCAUUUGUUUGAACGUUAAUCGCUGCCUUCUGCAAAAGAUACGCGAUGAUCAAAAAGCUAAAGCCGCGAACAUCACUGACUCAGAAAGAUGCCAUUGCUGAGGCUGUCUCAGUGGAAUCGUCCCAUCUUGUGCUGGACACAUCUCCUCCUGAUUAUGUGGUGCAAAUAUCGCGGUAUCUUGAGUCUUCUGUGAGACAGAGCAGACCGAAUGAGGACCUCCCUGAAUCAGACGGUGAUUCAGGAGACAGCCUGUUCGUCACUCAGAAACCUGUACCUGAGGCUGUAAGAUCAGGAAGACACUCCAGCUUCAGAUCUGACCUCACGUUUCCAACAGAGCUAGAAGAUGAAGAUGAAGGUGAAGAUGGCUCUCUGCCGUCUUCUCACAGCAGGACCAAAACUAAAAAAAAGAGGAGGGCGGCCAUCAACCUUCCAAAGUACGAUUUCCCUUUCCUCAAAGAGAAGCCUUCGAAGUCAGAUACCAAAUGCAACAUAGGACUUCAUAAUUGUGCAACAGCAGGCUUCUUUGAAUGUGUUAGAGAGCUGUGGCAGAGCCGCCAGAGAGGACAAGUCCUGCAGACCUCUUCACCAACAAUGGACAUAGAUGGAGGGUGUAUAUCUCCAUUAUCACAAGAUGAAGAAACCUCAGAAGGUGAGGACAUCAGAGUAGUGGAGAGGAAACGGUUUGUGUCCUCAUUAAAACCAAAAAGCUCACAGCCUUGGUAUAAACGAGGAAAGACAGACAGUCAGGUGAAACAACACUGGAAGAUCAAGCAACCACGGGAUACAACCAGCCAUGAGACAUCUUGUAAUUCCCCAGAUAUGACAUCCACCCCCAGCGCUCUGCUGCCUCCGGAAGCAACUGGUGGCAGCAUUGGCCAAACUGAAACGCCAAACACAAAGAGAGGAAGGAAAAGGCCACUCUUUUCUCAAAAAGAAAAAGAGAAGGAGCUGUGUGAGGACAGUGAUGCUACACUUAGUGAUCUAAGUCCAGAGAAAUACACACCAAAGAGAAGAGAAGCGUCUUCAGCUGUAACACAGCCUCAGGCUGAUGUUUUCCACACAGAUCUGCUGUCACAGACUGAACAAGAGGAGUGUGAGCCUGAAAGCCAAAGUCUCCUCCAGAUUGACACUAAUAAUGAUACGAUGUGCAGUGAAACUGGGCUACAGAGGAGGAAGAAGAAGAAAAAGCACAGAGAAAAUCAUCAAAGUACAGAAGAGCCAGCGGCUCAGCACGCUGCGGCGUCUCAGAACAUGGAAAUCACAGAGGUGGAGGAGACUCUGGGAGUGUCACAGGCUGCUGAUGAACCAGAGAGUCAUGAGAAAGAUUGGACAAAACAGUCCUUACAUGAUGAUAACAUGCUGAGACAGGAGGAGGUGGAUUUUUCUGAGAGAAAACAGAAGAAGAGGAGAGAGCUGUCAGAAACUGAAGAGGUUCGACAGGAGGCUGAAGCUGAUCUGAGGGUGGAGGAGACUCUGGGAAUGUCACAGGCUGUUGAUGAACCAGAGAGUCAUAGGAAAGAUUGGACAAAUCAGUCCUUACAUGAUGAUAACAUGCUGAGACAGGAGGAGAUGGACAUUUCUGAGAGAAAACAGAAAAAGAAGAAGAAGAAGAGGAAAGAGCAGUCAGAAACUGAAGAGGUUCAACAGGAGGCUGAAGCUGAUCUGAGGGUGGAGGAGGAUUCAGUGAGCAACACAGAGAUUAAAUGCAAAAAGAAGAAGAAGAAAAAGAGGAAAAGAAAUGAGGAGGAGGAGCAGGUUGAGCUGUUGAAGUCAGAUGAACCUCUGAAUGAUGAUACAGACAUAUAUAAGAACAGAGCUCCAAAUUCAGAUCACAUGCCAACAGAACAGUUUGGAUCUCCUCAAGAAUCAGAAUCAAGCUAUGUUAAAAGAAAAAAGCACAAAAAGAAGCAACAGCCAGUUUCUAACAAUGAUACUCAGGCUGAGGAAGAUGAUUGUACAGAUGCAAACGUCUCUAAUGAUGGUGCAACCUUGGCGGAAAGGACAUCAUUGUCAGUGACAAAGAAGAAGAAAAGGAUCGCUGAGAGGAUGAAUGGCUCACACGCUGAAGAAAGUACAACAGAGGGCCUUGUAGAGCGAGGUGCUGAACUGGCGACUAAGAAAAAGAAGAAGAAGAAAGUAUCAAGUGUGGAGGAUGAUGAUGUUGUUGCACAAAGUGAUGAUUCUGUGUCUGUGUGGAAAAAGGAAAAGAAGAGGACCUCUUCCUUCCUGGUUGCUGAUGCAGAGCAAAUAGCAGCUCAUAAACACACGGAAAAAUGUUCUGCUUCACCGUCUCCGUCUGAAGCUGCUCAUGUCUGGCAUGCAGAAAAGCCAGCCGUCAGCAAUGGUGAUUUCACGACUGAAUUAGCAGAAAUGGUUGUAAGCUUAGAGGAAUCUGAAGAAGGGGUCAGGAAAAAGAAGAAGAAGAAGCAUCAAGAGACACCACAUGAAACGCUUCAGAUAGAUCUAGAUGAAAUACAAGUCAAGAUAAAAAAGAAAAAAAAGAAAGAUGAACCAGUGUUACCGCCAGAAACAUCAGGUGCAGGAUGUUGUCAAAUAGAUGAGGAUGUAGCGUCGAAGAAGAAAAAGAAGAAGAAGAAGACAGAUAGGCAAGAAUCAGCUGCCACUGAGGAGACGCUGAAUACCUGCAACUCAGCUGUGGAUGCAACGGUUCAUGAUAGCAGCACGUGUAGUGAACAAGUGGACAAGCAGAUGGUUGAACUGGCUUUAGAAACGCCUGAAAAACAAGCAUUGAAUAAUGUGAGAGACAAAAAGAAAAAACAGGUGGAGGACACAUUCAAUGAAGAAACAGCUGCCCAGGAACACAAGAAGAAGAAGAAGAAAAAGCUGAAAGUUGGUUCUCUGUUAUCAGAGAUCCCACAUGAAUAGAGACAAGACCACGAGACAUGAUCAAGAUUCAUUGUCAGUUUUUAUUGUAUUUUGUAUGGAAGCAACUUCCAAGGUUUUAUAUAAACGAUCUGUUAUAUCCUUGUGUAUUUUAUUUUUAAAUGAAAAAUACCACCAUGUAAACUGGAAUUACAUUGAAUUAUUGUUCUCAGUUGGUUUGAGAUCUGUAUAGGUGGCCUUUGUUUGUUAGCAGGGGGCUGAGCAGGGG